CUCUAGUGAUCCUCCUCUUGAUGCCCUCCAGGUACACGGGUCGGUCAAACUGGCCAGCUCCCAAUGGAAUGCUGGAAGGCAGUGUCUCACAGGAGUAUUACCAUGUUUCUGCGAAGCGGUGAUUCCCUCUCUGGUCCUGGAUUAGCCUCUCCCCUGCAUAUUUUAAUGCUUUUCCUGCUCUAAUCAGUUUAUGAACAGUACUUUCCUAUGGAUGUUGUGUUAGAGCAGUUCACUUCAUAUGUUCUUACACAUUAUCAAUCACUUACUCUGUAUUAACUCGGCAACAUGGUAAAUGAGGGGCACCCUCAAUAUUCUCUGAGACUAAAUAAAGGUUGAUGAUUGAUUGA